UGGGAGACUGUGUGUUCCAGAAGGCUCCU
rnacentral:piRNA from 1 species